rnacentral:sRNA from 1 species
AGAAAAGUAGGUGCCGCCCCGCACAGGGGCAACGCUAAUAGACCACUAACAAAACAAGGAGAGGCCAAAGCGCUAAGAACACUGACAAAAGCGCCGCGCAGGCAAAAAACCCUCUCAGCUACUC